rnacentral:rRNA from 1 species
UACAGAGGGGGCAAGCGUUGUUCGGAAUUACUGGGCGUAAAGGGCGCGUAGGUGGCCUUCUAAGUUGAACGUGAAAUCCCUGGGCUCAACCCAGGAACUGCGUCCAAGACUGGGAGGCUUGAAUUCGGGAGAGGGAUGCAGAAUUCCAGGUGUAGCGGUGAAAUGCGUAGAUAUCUGGAGGAAUACCGGUGGCGAAGGCGGCAUCCUGGACCGACAUUGACGCUGAGGAGCGAAAGCUAGGGGAGCAAACGGG